UACAGAGACUGCAAGCGUAUUCGGAUUCACUGGGCGUAAAGGGUGCGCAGGCGGUUGGGUGUGUCAGAUGUGAAAUCCCGAGGCUUAACCUCGGAACUGCGUCUGAAACUACUCGACUAGAGUACUGGAGAGGGUAACGGAAUUCACGGUGUAGCAGUGAAAUGCGUAGAUAUCGUGAGGAACACCAGAGGCGAAGGCGGUUACCUGGACAGUUACUGACGCUCAGGCACGAAAGCAUGGGGAGCAAAAGGG
rnacentral:rRNA from 1 species